GAUUUCUGGUUUGAUGUACCUGUCCCGCCUCGGUAACGGGGUCGAGUGACGGAGUAUGUCUGCCAUCCUUCUAGAGAAUAUAAACUAUCCUUUACUGGACCGGUUUAUAUCAUCUAGAUCUUUUACUUUGAAAAAAUUAGAGUGUUUCAAGCAGGCGACUCGCUGUGAAUACAUUAGCAUGGAAUAAUAACUUAGGACUUCGGUUCUAUUUUGUUGGUUUCUAGGACUGAAGUAAUGAUUGAUAGGGAUAGUUGGGGGUGCUAGUAUUCAGUGGCCAGAGGUGAAAUUCUCGGAUUCACUGAAGACUAACUUAUGCGAAAGCAUU
rnacentral:rRNA from 1 species